rnacentral:lncRNA from 1 species
UGGGCACCUAGAGGCCAGCAUUACUGAGGGCUCUUUGCAGGCUGAUACCCAGGAGAAAAGAGGAAGGGCUUAAGGGAUCAGGACAUGUGGAAGUAACCAAGCGUGAAAGACCAGGAAAGAGGCUUAUCAGGGAUCCAGAUGCCCUGGUGACACAACACAGGCCAGCAGGAAGAUGCGUGGAAGAGCUCAUGCAUGUGUUCUCCGGGCCUUUCCUGCUACUCGGUGAGGUGGAAACACAGUCAUAGGUUCUGAGUCAGGACCAUUACGGGAGUGAUGGAGUUGUACAAGUAUUAAAGUGUCUCAACGGGACCUCACAUGGCAGAUGUAACUUCAGAAUCCCCCAGUGACCUCACGUGGUCUCUUCUGCCUUGUUUAUUGGCCAGCUCCUGCUUAGCAUCAGCGAUGUCUCCCAGAAUCAGUGGCUUUACAGAUUCUUCAACCUCACCUAAUGAAAUGCAAAUUGGCAAUCAUAAACUCUAUUGCCUACUUCCACGUUGUAAGCAAUUAGUGCAAAAAUGAAACAAGGAAUUGCCUCUGAGCUGGUGAUUACUGCAGUCAAGGAUGGCUCCGUUCUCUAAAGGACUGAAGUCCGUUGUGCAUUCUCUCCUGUGGAGGAGCAGCGAAGGU